rnacentral:sRNA from 1 species
UCGAAACACAUUCAAUUUUUUUCGGGAGC